rnacentral:lncRNA from 15 species
CACUCCCAGCUCUGAUCCGAUGGCCGAUUCGUCUUUUCUGUUCUCUAACUGGUAAGUUUAGUUCCAGUGGUAUAUCAGGGGUCAAAGGUCUGGGGUCAAAGUCUGAUUUUUAACUGACAGUACACAAAACUAGCGUUGCCAUCAGUAUGCUUGAUUAAAAACCAAUAAUGAUCUAACAUGACCGUCACUGUGUGUUUCUGCUUCAGGUCUGUCAGCUCUUUGGGGCUGGGUGAGCCACCUCGUGGGAACCCUUCGUGGAAUCCAGAGCCUGUUUAAAUGGCUGUCUCGAAUUUGGCGGUUUUUCGUAGGAUUUUCCUCCAAGUUCAAGUGGUUGGCUGCUGUCAUCAAAGCAAGCUCAGUGUCAUCCACAGACGAAGAACUGGAUUUAAACAGUCCCAACAAACCAGGCCUGAGGCUGAUCCUCCUGGAGUAUAACAGUGAAGGAUGGACCUCCCUGGAAGAGACUUUGUUGGGCAACAGUGGGACAAGGGCACCCACGAGUCCCCUAAUUGAGAGCACCAAGAGUAGGACCGUAUUAGAUGGUAGAGAGGUUACAGUGAUCAACACCCCAGAUCUUUUGGGGCCGUCAUUGGGGAACAACAAGAGAGCCAGGGAAGCUUUGAGGAGCCUUCAGCUCGCCAGUCCUGGACCACACGCCUUCCUGCUGGUGAUCCGAGCUGCGGGCUCCAGCAUGGGGAUUGACCAGGAUGCAGCUCAGGCAAUCCGAGCCACCCUUGACGUGUUUGGAGACGGGGUCGCAGGGUACAUCAUCCCAGUGCUCGCCCACGCACACCGUCGGGGUCGAAGGCAUACUGUAGAUCAGCUGCUGGAUGCAGAUGAUGGGGGUCUGAGAAGGGCUCUGUCUCAAUGCGACCAGAGUCCAGAGCUGGUGGAUGACAGGCCAGACUGCCCUCCAGAGGUGCAGGGUGUGAUGCGCAGGCAGCUGGUGGGGCGUGUGAUGGAGAUGAAAACACUGAGGGGGCAUUUUGUCCACGAGCUGCAGAGAAGAGAAGACCGCAUCAGGGAGGAGCUUCUGACUGACAUGGCCUCUGCACUGGCUAUAAAACUAGGACACAUGUAAAUAAGAGAGGGAGAGCUGCUGUUGGUCUGUGUGAAAGAGUUGUUGGGGCAGUGAAAAAAUAAGGAGGCAAGAUUCAUUCAAGUGUUGAACAUGCAAUUUUGAGUUUAGGUGCAAGGGUGAUUCUUUGCCUGAGGUAUUUUUGUCACUCUGCUGGUUUACCACUGUCCAAAUGAAUUUACUACCACUGGCCGCCUUUUGGUUUUCAACAUGCCACAGAUGCUUUUGGUUAGAUAUCACGCUCACACACUUAAUUUUCCCAUUGUGAUGUGUUGUGUACUUCUUUGCCGUCUGUUUAUUCCUUUGCAUAGGCCUGUGCCUCGUGUUUUCUUACCCUGCUCCAGUGCUUAGCCCUCCCUUAUCAUUCAUAAUUUAUAAGCUAUAUCAAAAUUUAAAGAUGGUCAGGGAAAAUAAACUGAAGUCAUAUUGGGACUAAAGUUCAGCAGUGCUGUCCACGUAUUCUGUGCUUUCUCCAGAAGCCUCCGAAAACACCAUUUAGACCAAAAACUGUUACUUAAAUAUGAACAAGCUCACAUUUAAUUGCAGGUUUUUAUUGACUGUAUUUAUGUAGCUGUGACAUCUGGCAACAGAUGAAAGUGACAAGUCUAUUUAUGGUAUAAUAAUAUCAGUCGAGCUUUAAUUGUGAAAUAUUAACAUCAUCUCAAGUAUAUGUUGUAUACUUUUAUUUUCAGAGGUGACCCACUAACCCACAUUAUUUGUAGUCUUAAUGACCUGAAACACUACUGAUACUGAUAAAGCAGAGUGACCCUGUGGUUAAAGAGACAAUUCAACAUCAGUACAUACCUCCAAAAGACCAAUCAGGUUCCUCGUGGGCAUGAUGAUGGAAACACACAGCAUAAGAAGAAAUAACAACCACUGGUCUACUGGUAUUUUUCUAAUUUUCUAAUUUUUUUUUAAGUCUGACUUCUGACCUAAGAAAAAGAAAAAAAAGUAGUAGAAAAAGUCAAUCAUUACCAAUAUACACUAGCAUCUGUUAGCACAUUAUAUUUUACUGUUUAAGGGUUUAGACAUCUUAAGCAGCAUGAUCUGCUGUGCUUUGCAGUCAAUUAAAUGUACACAAGAGUGGUUCAAAAUCUAAUAUUUACCUCAUUAGCUUUCCAUAAUUUUCCAGUGUCAGUAUUGGGUAAUAUGUUUCUGUUCAGUAAACUAAUUCUGAAGAACUGAGGGGAAAACAGGAUAUGAUUGGGAAAUGCAUGUUUGGAUCUGUUUAGCUGAAAAACAUUACCUUUCUCUCCAGCAGUCUUACAUUUGAAGACUGCUGUCAAAAACCCUUUGGCAGUGCAGGAAGGCCACAACGAAAUAAAAGAUAAUCUCUUUCAAAUGUAUCUGCAUGAUCCACAUUAUUGUGGACAUAUACUGAGAUUACACUGGCCAAGGUCUGUUACACUUUAUUAAACAUGAAGAAAUAUUUUUUAUAUCAACGCUGAAUCAAAUGAUCAAUCAAAUUUUAAAUUAUUAUUCAUAGUGUCAAACCCACUGGGAAUUAACACCAAACUCUGGAGCUAUUUGCAGGUUUUCAGCCACUUUUAGCUCUUUGAUUUUGUUUUUCUGCCUACAAAACAUUUGCAUACCAAAGUGGAGCUCAAUAAAAGUGAAGAAUAUUCAUCAAAUGGACUGAAACUCCACACAUAAUGUUGAUAAUGUGUUCUUGUGUCUGCUGAAUGUUUUGGUCAUAACAACUUUUUAAGCUGAGGGCUGUGUUUGUUUUGCCCCCUAGUGGUCAAAAAUGACUAAAGGCAGCUUUAAAGUCACAAACCUGGCUGAUUUGGUAACACAUGGGGUGAUAACUGCGAGUGUGUAAUUGAAAAAGUGUGUCAGUUUGAGCUCACAAAACUCAGCAGAAGAGAAACAACUCCUGUAUGCGUUUAUAGCAUAGCCAAACAAACCAUGGGCUGAGGUGAUUCAUUGUGUCACACUGUUUCAAUAAAGGAGAGACCAUCAACAAUGUCAUUCUUAUGUUAAGCUCUUGUGUUCCACAUCAUGUCCAUACAUGAUUCACUGUUUCCUGUGAAUCCCUUGUGCAUAGUAUUCAAUUCUUGAUAGCUAUAAAUCUUAAAGAUGUAAUUCAUAAAUAUUGUUAUUGUUAUACAUUACUUUUUGUUGUGGCGGGUGGUUUAGUAAACAGUUGCCUAUUUACACAUCAAGCAGGCGCAAAAUAAAUGGAAUUUAUUUGUGGCCGUGUCUCUGGCUGUCUGAUGAAUGUAAGUCCAAUAUUCACUCUCCUUUAAGCUCUGUUUUAGUCCCCACCAACUGAAAAAUAUCUCUUCAGCUGCUAAAUGUUCAUCAGCUAGUUGCUAACUUUGUUAGCUACAUUCAGAGUAAAUCACAAGAAUAAAGUUGCGGCAUAAAACCAAAACAAUUGGGUGAUAAUUAUCUGUGGGUUUGUCACUAGAAGCGACUCCUUGGUCAUGUGAUCCCUCCAGGUGUAAACCCACUGUGACUUCUACUAUUGUUUUGUGGACUACAGUUAUGAAGCUUCAGGAUUGGCAUUAUGCCAUCUUGGUUUUUUAGAUCCAGAAGUGACCAUAUAAGAGUGUGGAGCUGCCUCUAUCCUGACUGGAUCUGACUGAGAACCUAAGGACAGGUCUUGGUAAUGGCUUAUCAAUCACAAGGUAAUCACACCCUAAAUUUUACUCUAAAUGGGACCAUAAUGUACCAAAUGCUGCAUGGAAGCCGACUCAAAACUAGCAACUAACCAUAAACUUAUUUGCAAACUAUUUACUGAGGUAAUAAAUCAAGUGAGAAGUACAAUCAAAAGUCAAAAUCAAGACUUCUUAUUGCAACCUGUAGGGGUGCCUCCUGCUGGACAUUAGAAAGAAAGCAGGUUCAAGGCGCUUCCACAUCAGCUUCAAUGUUCAUACCCCAAAUCUCCAUCCACUAUUUAUUAUACUAUGGAUCCAUUGUUGACAUUAAAAUAUAUUGGUUAUAGCCACUUCAAGUAUUCAGCAGUCAAUAAAGCAAGCUAAAGUUUGAGCCAGCCUAAAAGUCAUAAACUUUUACAUUUACUUUUACAUUACAUGUACAUCACUGGUGCAAACGGGGUGUAAAGCUGCACUGUGAUAUUUAUUCAUUAUGUCUUUUAAACAUGCCCACUGUGAAUAAAGUGGAAAAUCCAGGGUUUCGCAGUCUCAGGGGAGGGACUGCUCAACUGUCUACUGACGCAGGCGGUGACAGCAAUAUGGAGCCAGGGAGACGCUACUGCGCAUGUCCGCGUCUGCACGGACGGAGAGAGAGACAGACCAUAGACAGAGAGAGGGAGAGAGAGAGAGAGAGAGAGAGAGAGAGCUGUACCAGGGAAAAAUUGUCAAGACAAAGGACUGAACAGUCUUUAGGGAAACAGCGGAGAGUAGAUUGAGUUUUUAUACCGGUUUAUGGUAGCCGAGCUGUGACACUAGCGGCGGGAAGCGGCCAGGUAAGUGUUCGGUCAGAGAAAACGAAGUUAUAAGACGCGAAGGAAGCGCUGUGGUUGUGUUUGCUGUAGACACGGGAGUCACGUCGAGCAGCCAGAAGAUUAACGCCAGAUAUCUGUUACUAUCACGGAUUAUUUGCAUCUGUACAUGUAGGGUUUCGGAGUACGACAGCGGCUGUGCCUCCUUAACGGACUGUACGCUCUCUGGUGUGUGUGUGUGUGUGUGUGUGUGUGUGUCCUGGUUUGUACGGGGCUGUUAUCAUAUUCUGCUAGCUCACUUACAACAGCCUGCUUCCUCUAUCCAGUCCAAGCUGCUGGAUAUGUUUACCUUCUUCUCAUUUGGGGGGGGUCUGCUGAUCAAGAGGGGAUUGUAGCAGCUUAUUAUGUGAUCUCAGCUAUCGAUCAGCAUUGACUACCUGAUCACUAUUGUUUUUUUAAGUGUUGUUUAAGGUGUUUGGCUGUUGUUAACCUUAAGUAAGCAGUUUGUAAGAUGUCAUUUUGGGCUCUGCUAACUUGUGGUGGGAAUUGUUUGUUAUUUUAAAUGAGCUUUUAUUAGCUUUUCUUUCUUUCUU